GUUCUACUCCCUUCGUCCCAAAAUUCUUGUCUUAGAUUUGUCUAGAUACAGAUGUAUCAAGUCACAUUUUAGUAUUAGAUACAUCCAUAUCUAGACAAAUCUAAGACAAGAAAUUUGGGACAGAGGGAGUACUAA
rnacentral:pre_miRNA from 1 species